CUCGCGAAGUGAUUGAUCCUACACUGUCGAGAAAAGCUUCUAGGUAGAGACACAUCGCCCGUACCAAAACCGACACAGGUAGGCGGGGAGAGAAUCCUAAGGUGCGCGGGAAAACCCUCGUUAAGGAACUCGGCAAAAUGCCUCCGUAACUUCGGGAAAAGGAGGACUCAUGUAGUGUGAAGAGCAGAAUCGCUUGGAGCAUGAAUGAGUGGCACAAGAGAGGCGCAAGCGACUGUUUACCACAAACACAGGUGCCUGCUAAAGCGAAAGCUGAUGUAUAGGUGCUGACACCUGCCCGGUGCUGGAAGGUUAAGAGGAGGGGUUAGACUUCGGUCGAAGCUCUGAAUUGAAGCCCCAGUAAACGGCGGCCGUAACAAUAACGGUCCUAAGGUAGCGAAAUUCCUUGUCGGGUAAGUUCCGACCCGCACGAAAGGUGUAACGACUUGCGCACUGUCUCAACGAGGGACCCGGUGAAAUUGAAGUACCUGUGAAGAUGCAGGUUACCCGCGACUGGACAGAAAGACCCCAUGGAGCUUUACUGCAACCUAAGAUUGAACUUAGUUAAUGAAUGUACAGGAUAGGUGGGAGACGUAGAACCUAGGACGCUAGUUUUAGGGGAGUCGCUGUUGGGAUACCACCCUUCCAUUAAUUGAUUGCUAACGGGCCGAGUAACGACCGGCCGGACAGUCUUAGGCGGGCAGUUUGACUGGGGCGGUCGCCUCCAAAAGAGUAACGGAGGCGCCCAAAGGUUCCCUCAGAGCGGACGGAAAUCGCUCGAAGAGUGUAAAGGCAGAAGGGAGCUUGACUGCGAGACGGACAGGUCGAGCAGGGACGAAAGUCGGGCUUAGUGAUCCGGUGGUGCCGAGUGGAAGGGCCAUCGCUCAACGGAUAAAAGCUACCCUGGGGAUAACAGGCUAAUCUCUCCCAAGAGUCCAUAUCGACGGGGAGGUUUGGCACCUUGAUGUCGGCUCAUCACAUCCUGGGGCUGAAGUAGGUCCCAAGGGUUCGGCUGUUCGCCGAUUAAAGUGGUACGUGAGCUGGGUUCAGAACGUCGUGAGAAGUUCGGUCCCUAUCCAUCGCGGGCGCAAGAAACUUGAAGGGGGCUGCUCCUAGUACGAGAGGACCGGAGUGGACGAACCGCUGGUGUACCAAUUAUCCUGCCAAGGGUACAGUUGGGUAGCUACGUUCGGGACGGAUAAACGCUGAAAGCAUCUAAGCGUGAAACCAGCCUUGAGAUGAGGUUUCUCAUAGCGUAAGCUAGUAAGAUUCCAUGUAGACGACAUGGUAGAUAGGCCAGGUGUGGAAGAGCCGUGAGGUUUGGAGCUGACUGGUACUAAUCGAUCGAGGGCUUUACUGA
rnacentral:rRNA from 1 species